AGGGCCAAACCGAAUUUGGUGGGUGAGAAAAACAGGCUACAGAGAAGCAAAUUAAGCAAAUGAAGAAACAGACAACCACAACAAGUAGAUAAUCGAAAGUAAAGUGAAAGUACAUAUUGAGGACAUUUCGAGGGAUGAAAACAGCAACGCCGACUGGAGUUAGCUGCUAGCUUAAAUAAUUAGUGCAUCCUUGUAAACCCUGUUUUUCAUGUUGGGAGUCGGUUGUCGAAAGAAUAACGUUACGAAGAGGUGCCCUGGGGUUAAUGGCUGUGGAUAACUGCACAAAGGAAGGCACAGAACAAAAACAAGACAUGGAUGACAAAUUUGGUAUUUGAGGAGUCAUUUCUUAGAAACCUUUUCCAAAACAUGGAAUGCGUAACGCCUUGGAACUGGAACGAGGCCCAGCAUUACUAAACACUGCUUUAUGCAAGUUAACGUUCUGCUCAGACUUGCCUGGAAAUCUAUGAAUGAACGCUGUACAGUAUUCCCUCAAGGGAAAUUUGUGUCCUGUUUGUCUCAAACUUGUACAACUACUGCCGUCACUGUGCUGGUUGGAGUCAGAAUGUUGUGUUUGGGUGUUUUUAUAUUUUAAGUUUCUUUUGGUCUCCAGUCCGGUUACGUUACCUUUCUUUUUCUUUUUUUUUGGGUGGCUCCAUUUUAAUUAGCAGCACCAGUCACGUGGAUACGGUUGUUUUAACACACAUGACAUUUUCUGAUGUAGACGCAUGUCAGUUUUGAUGUAGUCUGAUAAACAAGGUGUAGGUCAAAGCAUAUUUGCGGUUUGAGGAACUUGUUAAUUUCGGUAACUUGAGGUGUAAAAACUGAAAGACAACCACACUGCUGAGGUUAGGGUUAAUUCAUCACCUAUGCCAACCUGUGCACAGCACCGUUACUGUAAGGGCUAGGAAUCUUUUGAAGUUUUCGGUACGUUACUAUUUUUCCGUACAUGACAGUUUUUGAUAUUUGGUAAACCGUCGGUUCCAAAAAGCUACAAAUAUUCUAUACCUUCUGGUACCAAAUAAAGAACUUUUAACUGCUUCAACAGAAAAAGCUAAAAUUUCAUGGUGAGCUCUCCAUAGAAAACUGUUAUUGUGAUUGCCUAAUAAUAACUAGUCACUAUUGGUUGUUUUUAUAAAUGACCAGUACCAGCCAAGCACCUUAACCAUCACUGUAUGUCAUCUGGAUGGACUGUAAUUAAAGUAUGUGACUAAAGCUGAAAACAGACUCUGACGUAUGUGGAUGUGGACUGACUCAGUUGAACAGAGCUCCAGAAUUUUUCACUUGGGGGAAAGGCGACCCAAAUAGGCCUGAGGAUAGUUAGACUUUAUUUAGAAGUAGUCAAUGUUGAACAGACCCAACCAGAACACCUGCAAGAUGGUAAUGCAUGAUGAUUUGUAAUGUUUUAAU